rnacentral:rRNA from 1 species
UGGGGAAUAUUGCACAAUGGAGGGAACUCUGAUGCAGCAACGCCGCGUGCGGGAUGACGGCCUUCGGGUUGUAAACCGCUUUCAGCCAUGACGAAGCUUUUGUGACGGUAGUGGUAGAAGAAGCACCGGCUAACUACGUGCCAGCAGCCGCGGUGAUACGUAGGGUGCGAGCGUUGUCCGGAAUUAUUGGGCGUAAAGAGCUUGUAGGCGGUUUGUCGCGUCGAUAGUGUAAACACGCAGCUUAACUGUGUGCCUGCUGUCGAUACGGGCUGACUAGAGGAGGGUAGGGGAGAAUGGAAUUCCCGGUGGAGCGGUGGAAUGCGCAGAUAUCGGGAGGAACACCAGUGGCGAAGGCGGUUCUCUGGACCUUUCCUGACGCUGGGAAGCGAAAGCGUGGGUAGCAAACAGG